rfam:Myotis lucifugus cont2.55215, whole genome shotgun sequence.
GUCUACAGCCAUACCACCCUGAACGUGCCUGAUCUCGUCUGAUCUCGGAAGCUAAGCAGAGUCGGGCCUGGUUAGUACGUGGAUGGGAAAUUCCUUAUGAUAAACCACAGUAUGUAACAG